CGUGUAGGCGGUUUGGCAAGUCGAGUGUGAAAUCCCACGGCUCAACCGUGGAACUGCGCUCGAAACUGCCUUACUUGAGUGCGGGAGAGGUGUGCGGAAUUCCUGGUGUAGCGGUGGAAUGCGUAGAUAUCAGGAAGAACACCGGUGGCGAAGGCGGCACACUGGCCCCAGCACUGACGCUGAGGCGCGAAAGCGUGGGGAGCGAACG
rnacentral:rRNA from 1 species